rnacentral:rRNA from 1 species
GACGAACGCUGGCGGCGUGCUUAACACAUGCAAGUCGAACGGAAAGGCCCCCACCUUGGUGGGGGUGCUCGAGUGGCGAACGGGUGAGUAACACGUGGGUGAUCUGCCCUGUACUUCGGGAUAAGCUUGGGAAACUGGGUCUAAUACCGGAUAGGACCAUGGUUUAGUGUCUCAUGGUGGAAAAAUAUUGUUUUGGUGCAGGAUGAGCUCGCGGCCUAUCAGCUUGUUGGUGGGGUAAUGGCCUACCAAGGCGUCGACGGGUAGCCGGCCUGAGAGGGUGGACGGCCACAUUGGGACUGAGAUACGGCCCAGACUCCUACGGGAGGCAGCAGUGGGGAAUAUUGCACAAUGGGCGCAAGCCUGAUGCAGCGACGCCGCGUGGGGGAUGACGGCCUUCGGGUUGUAAACUCCUUUCGUUAGGGACGAAGCCACACCUUUUUUGGGUGUGGUGACGGUACCUUUGUUAAGAAGCACCGGCUAACUACGUG